rnacentral:rRNA from 1 species
UACGUAGGGCCUAGCGUUGUCCGGAAUCAUUGGGCGUAAAGAGCGCGUAGGCGGCCCGGUAAGUCCGCUGUAAAAGUCAAAGGCUCAACCUUUUGAAUGUCAGUGGAUACUGCCGGGCUAGAGUCCGGAAGAGGCGAGUGGAAUUCCUGGUGUAGCGGUGGAAUGCGCAGAUAUCAGGAGGAACACCAAUAGCGAAGGCAGCUCGCUGGGACGGUACUGACGCUAAGGCGCGAAAGCGUGGGGAGCGAACAGG